AUGAGGACCAGCAUCACCCUCGUCAUCGGUGUGGCCGCCAUCAUCUACGCCGUCGCCAUGCCCGCCACGGCGAUGCCCGGCGGGUGGGAACACAUCCGUAACAUCAACGACCCGAAGAUCCAGGGGCUCGGCAAUUGGGCGGUGGCGGAGCACAUGAAGCAGGCGGGCGGCCGGUUCAGGUUCAGCAAGGUGGUGCUGGGCACGGUGCAGGUGGUGUCGGGCUUCAACUAUCGGCUCCUCGUCGAGGCGCUGAACGGCGCCGGCAAGAAGGACGCGUACAAGGUGGAGGUGUACGAGGAGGCGGCCGACAAAGGGCGCAAGCUCGUCUCCUUCACCCCGGUCGCCCAAGAGGCGUAG
rnacentral:rRNA from 1 species